CCUCAUCUACUUAAGCAUCAAAUAAAAUUGGUAUGAUAUAGAGAAGAUAAGUGUCCCCCCUGCACAAGGAUGACACACAAAUUGAGAAAUUGUCCAAAUUUUU
rnacentral:snRNA from 1 species